rnacentral:rRNA from 1 species
UGAGGAAUAUUGGGCAGUGCCCGCAAGGGUGACCCAGCAACGCCGCGUGGAGGAUGAAUGUCGUAAGAUUGUAAACUCCUGUUAGAGGGGAAGAAUAGUACCGGUUGGACCGGUAUAUGACUGUACCCUCAGAGAAAGCCCCGGCUAACUACGUGCCAGCAGCCGCGGUAAUACGUAGGGGGCAAGCGUUGUCCGGAUUUACUGGGUGUAAAGGGCGCGCAGGCGGGAUAAAAAGUCAGUGGUGAAAUCCUACAGCUUAACUGUAGAACUGCCUUUGAUACUUUUAUUCUUGAGUUCGGGAGAGAGAGACGGAAUUCCAGGUGUAUUGGUAAAAUACGUAGAUAUCUGGAAGAACACCAGUUGCGAAGGCGGUCUCUUGGUCCGACACUGACGCUGAGGCGCGAAAGCGUGGGGAGCAAACA